GACGAACGCUGGCGGCGUGCUUAACACAUGCAAGUCGAACGGAAAGGCCCUGCUUUUGUGGGGUGCUCGAGUGGCGAACGGGUGAGUAACACGUGAGUAACCUGCCCUUGACUUUGGGAUAACUUCAGGAAACUGGGGCUAAUACCGGAUAGGAGCUCCUGCUGCAUGGUGGGGGUUGGAAAGUUUCGGCGGUUGGGGAUGGACUCGCGGCUUAUCAGCUUGUUGGUGGGGUAGUGGCUUACCAAGGCUUUGACGGGUAGCCGGCCUGGGAGGGUGACCGGCCACAUUGGGACUGAGAUACGGCCCAGACUCCUACGGGAGGCAGCAGUGGGGAAUAUUACACAAUGGGCGGAAGCCUGAUGCAGCAACGCCGCGUGCGGGAUGACGGCCUUCGGGUUGUAAACCGCUUUCGCCUGUGACGAAGCGUGAGUGACGGUAAUGGGUAAAGAAGCACCGGCUAACUACGUG
rnacentral:rRNA from 1 species